rnacentral:ncRNA from 1 species
CCAAAGGCUCUUCUAAGAGCCACCAACUUGUUCUUUCAGAGCUAU